rnacentral:tRNA from 1 species
AGUUUAAGUAGUGUAAAUAUAGCACAUUAAGUUGUAAACUUAAAAAAAAAUGAACUUUUAAAGCUU